rnacentral:rRNA from 1 species
UUGAACGCUGGCGGCAGGCUUAACACAUGCAAGUCGAGCGGGGGAAGGUAGCUUGCUACUGGACCUAGCGGCGGACGGGUGAGUAAUGCUUAGGAAUCUGCCUAUUAGUGGGGGACAACAUCUCGAAAGGGAUGCUAAUACCGCAUACGUCCUACGGGAGAAAGCAGGGGAUCUUCGGACCUUGCGCUAAUAGAUGAGCCUAAGUCGGAUCAGCUAGUUGGUGGGGUAAAGGCCUACCAAGGCGACGAUCUGUAGCGGGUCUGAGAGGAUGAUCCGCCACACUGGGACUGAGACACGGCCCAGACUCCUACGGGAGGCAGCAGUGGGGAAUAUUGGACAAUGGGGGGAACCCUGAUCCAGCCAUGCCGCGUGUGUGA